CGCGUAGGCGGUUUGGUCAGUCGGAUGUGAAAGCCCCGGGCUUAACCUGGGAAUUGCAUUCGAUACUGCCAGACUAGAGUGUAGUAGAGGGAAGCGGAAUUCCAGGUGUAGCGGUGAAAUGCGUAGAUAUCUGGAGGAACAUCAGUGGCGAAGGCGGCUUCCUGGACUAACACUGACGCUGAGGUGCGAAAGCGUGGGGAGCAAACA
rnacentral:rRNA from 1 species